GCCAGCAUGGUGUAGUAGUUUGAGUGUUGGACUAUGACUCCGGAGACCAGGGUUCGAUUCUCUGGUUGGGA